AUGAGUUCGAAAAACCGUGCUUGGAGAUGGAGUGAGGAAACAAGUGUUGGAGUAGUGGAAGGGUUGAAGGAUCAAGGAAUAUGUAGAUGGAACAGUGUGAUAAGAUCAGUACAACAACAUGCUACACAUAAUAUCAAAUCUUUGUCUCAUGCCAGCAACAAAUUUUCUUCUUCUUCGUCUUCUGUACCUAAAACGAGGGAAGAGAAAGCCAAACAUUCAGAAGAAUCUUUAAGAACCGUCAUGUUCUUGAGCUGCUGGGGUCCCAACUAA